GUGCCAGCCGCCGCGGUAAAACGUAGGGGGCGAGCGUUGUCCGGAAUUACUGGGCGUAAAGGGCGCGUAGGCGGUUAUCCAAGUCAGGGGUGAAAACCUUGGGCUCAACCCAGGGCCUGCCUCUGAAACUGGGUGACUUGAGGGCAGGAGAGGGGAGUGGAAUUCCCAGUGUAGCGGUGAAAUGCGUAGAUAUUGGGAGGAACACCAGUGGCGAAGGCGGCUCUCUGGCCUGUUACUGACGCUGAGGCGCGAAAGCGUGGGGAUCAAACAGGAUUAGAUACCCUGGUAGUCCACGCCGUAAACGAUGGGUGCUAGGUGUAGGAGGUAUCGACCCCUUCUGUGCCGUAGUUAACACAAUAAGCACCCCGCCUGGGGAGUACGGCCGCAAGGUUGAAACUCAAAUGAAUUGACGG
rnacentral:rRNA from 1 species